rnacentral:tRNA from 1 species
GCCGCAGUGGCGGAACUGGCAGACGCGUACGGUUCAGGGCCGUAUGUCCUUACGGACAUGUGGGUUCAAGUCCCACCUGCGGCACCA